AAGUGGGCAGCAGCCCUGGAGUGUGACCUGUGGCAUUACAGAGGUGCCUCAUGUCCCCUCCCUUCUCGGCCACCAGGAUGAAGGCACAAGGUCUGUCUGCCUUAACUGAAACAAGCGCGUUCUGUUCAUCUGCCCGGAAUACACAAGCAAGUGUAAUGGUUGUGUAAGUUGCUGGUAAUACCCAAAGCAUAAACAAACGUGCACAGGAGAGGUGAGUUUCUGGCRAGUUUUCAGGGGAGUUCCCUCGGUCCAGGUGUUCCUCUUUAAGGAAAAGACAAAGAUAUUUAUGCAAGAAAGAAACAGAGAAUGUGCAGAAGGGCAGGGUACAAAUUGAGGUGUUGUCUGAUGGUGAUGAUGCUUUUAACACUGACCUGUGGCUCCAGAUUUAUUUCUUCAUGUUUGGCACAUCAGAAAACACCUCUGCUUUCAAAUCAUGCCAGGAUGAGUGACGAGUAUGCAGCACCUCGUGGAAUCAGAUCUUACAUGAAGUGAGUUAUUCCUUUAUCUGUGAGUCAGUAUUGCCAGGGUACAUUCUGUUUUAAGGUUCAAUUAAUGGUGUAUUCUAUGAAAUAAUUAGAKGAUGAGAAGUUUUCUUUACASUGAAGGUGGUGAAGUGCUGGAMCAGGCUGCCCAGAGAGGUGGCYGAUGCCUCAUCCCUGGAAACAUUCAGGGUCAGGUUGGAUGGAGCUCUGAGCAAUCUGAUYRAGUKGGAGAUGACAUUGCAGGGUGGGUGGAUUAGAUGGCUCAUAAAGGUCCCAUCCAACCCAAAUUAUUCUUCRGUUCUGUGAUCAAACUCCACCUAGYCAGUCAGUUGUUUCUUUUCUUGCAGUGAAGUGCUCCACAAAGGACACGUGUUUGGCUGGACUGUGAAGAGCUGUGAAGAUUGUACAAAGAAAGGACAAGACAGAGGAGGARAGAGACAGAAGAGAUGUUACAAAUYACUCUGCUGAAAGGCACCGGGAUAGUACCGUGAUAAAUCCAGGUCCACAGAAGGAACAAGUUAUUCAGUACCUGCUCUGAAAAACUUGCCUGGAAGGACGGCCGAAUGGAAAUGUGGAAGUCAGUGCCUUGCCUUCUCGGCAGGUGAACUCUGUGACUGCGGCGGCGUUUCCUCCCUCCCUCCCUCCCUUCCUCCCUGCCUGUGCGUUGGGAAGUUCCAGUGAAAUGUAGCUGCUGUGGAAAGUCCUGUUCACAGCGAGGAGACGUGACCUCUCAGCGAGUCAGAUGCAAUUUUACAGGCGGCUCUGAGUCAGGGUGGAGCCGGCGCCCUGAACUUUGUAUUGAAGAAGGAAGUGAUGUUGGUGGCAGCCCGUGUUGCUAAGCAGAGGAGUUGCCGUAUUUUGAUGUCAGCUGAUACUUUCGGCGGGGGUGUGACUUCAUUCUUAGAUAUGAUGYCUUCCAUUUAUUAAGGACAAAGGUCAGAAAUCGCCAGCGCUGCGAGAGCUCUGUCUCUCCAUAUAUGAAGAGGCACGUUCUGCUGAGCCGUCAAAGAUGGAAAUGGGAGUCCUUAAUGCUGCUCCUGCACGGUGAAAACAAAACCGACCGUGAAGCUGUCACUUCAUGUCACGGUCCAAGAGCAAACGUCCUCACAAUUAGGGAUGAUGUGGAGUAGGUCAGUUCUGCGGCRUUGCUCCAUUUUUAUAAGAACUCACUACUGUUCCUGAUUAUAGAGGUGGCCUGGUCUUGUCUCCAGUAGUAGUGGGAACCGGGGGCCUGAGGGGAGCAGUUGGACACUGACCUGUUAAAUCAGAAUUUAGAUGGAAAGCCAAGUGAUCCUGUCUCAUACCCAGCAAACUGAGUGGUGAGUCUGUCUGGGAGGGACAGCGAGCUGUUUGUCACCUCUGUGCCGCGGGCACCUGGGUGGGUGCUGCCUUCCAGCUGUCCAGAUUGUCACAGGGAAGUGGAGACAGAGAGGGACAGUGCAGGCAGGCUGGGAUCAGCUGCCCACAGCUGUGUGUGCACCCACCCCACCCACAGUGACGAGUCACAGGAGGCUGUUCCACACGGCAUUUUCACCUUUUCCCCCUAAAAGUCUGUGGUUACAUCCUUAAGUUAGCCUUGAGAGAGCUAUGAUGAUUGCCAUGUCAGAACACUUACACAUAAAAUAAUGAGUUUGGGGAGCAGUAUUUUGUUCUUGUUGGAUCCCCGAGGAUGAGGCACUGGGGAACGCUGCUGUCCCUCAGAGCUUUGUCCCUGUGAGGCCUGGCAGGUGAGUGGCAUGYAGACAAGAGCUGCUGGAGCUCGCUGCCCCUCUGCUUUUCUGGUUCAGUUCCUCAGUUAAGGAGUUCCCGGCCACAGAAGUGGCUGUUUGGGCCAGUUCCAGCUUUUGUCACUCUGGCUGACUUGAGUUUAAAAAAAAAAACCCAGCCAACCCACACAAGUGUGUACCCUGGCUUGCCCUCUGUUCCCUUAGCCUGCUGGUGCCACAGGGUGGCUCCUUGUAGCACUUAUAUUUCCAGCACUUUUAGCUCUUCAGCUGAAGUCAUUAAAGUUGUUCUUUCUGAUACGAGUCUGCUGCUUCCUGGUACUUACUAAAAUCCACGUGCUCUUGGUAUUUCAGCAUGCUGUGGGUUGMUGAAUGAUUUCUUCUGAAAAAAGAAUAUUGUUUUCCUUCAGCUUGUUAGCAUCUGUAUUGAAUAUUGUUAUCAUCUGUACCCUGCUAGCCACUACACACUCUGAGUCUCAUGUGCUUCCAUUGCUGUGUAAAUUUUGAGAAGCUUUGAGUAAAACUUUCACUUGAGAAA